rnacentral:lncRNA from 1 species
CUUAUUUUCAUAAAUCUCGCAAAGUCGUAAACUAAAGGUUAAUGCGCUUGUGCGAUGCAUACAAAUACUAAGAGACAGUAGCUUAAUUAUUCACAUAAUCUAUCCAACUAUUUGAAUCGGAGCAUCAUACCUUUCUUCGCCCCCUUGCCAUCCUUCCUCCACCUUCACCCGUUGCAAAGCAGUCAGAAUGGCCAUUUCCCUCCACCUGAAUAGCACAACCUCCGGCACAAGCAGCACAUCCUACAGCAACAAAUCCUUCCUACCAAUAACUUGAUCGCAUAUCCGAUACCUGCAUUAGAAGAACAUUCUUCAUUAAAAAAAAUCCAUCACACUCGAUAUUGAAGCCAUCAUCAUCCAGAUUAUGAAGGAUUAGAUCUAGGCUUGAUCGGGCAAUCCUCUAAGGUAGAUAGAGAUCCCUUAAGCUGUCAUUAGUGGUACGUAGCUACCUACCACCCUCCUGAAUAGGGUUUCUAUCCACCACUCACUGCAAGAAAGACUACCUCAUCUUCUUCUAGCAACCAUCUAUCAUCACACUAAUUAUCCAGGUCACUGAAAUCAAUCUAGAAGCUUCCAGCAAAUCUCCCCCACACCAACCUAGCAAACCUGCAAUGGAAUAAGACAGUGUUGUGCAGAUUCACUACAGAUUUAGCAGACAGGACACAUGAUAACCUGCGAACGCAUGAAGCUAGCAAAAUACUCCGAUGUAGGCAAUCUAUUUCAACAUAGCUUCCACAAGAAUAUCUUGAUCUUUGGGUAAAACAUUGAUUUUUCAUAUCACCCCCCAGCCAAAUCAAUUAUCCUAUCUAUCUAGGUUGAACACUCCCAUCUCAACAGGUGAUAAGCACUACUUGUUCUAACACAACCAUUGAGAGUCGAAGCCCAAACCCAUGUGUCAUCAUCGGGAUUCCUAGCCAAGUAGAUUCCUAUAAUUAUCUUCACUAACUAACUUGGGAUGAAAACCACCAUUCGAUAUCUCAUGACACUAUUUAUUUCCCACUACCAAAUUAGUAACAAAUGAAAAAGAGUAGACCAACUCCAAAUUUACAAAAGCGGGCUAGUGGUUCAAAGGAAUAAUAUCAAUCCAAGGUUCAUACCAUACAUCAGUUUGUAAGCGAGAUGCAAGACACCUCUUAAAACCCAACUGGACCUCACCCAC